UGUCAACUUGCUGCUAGAUGAGUGGCUGUAGGGAGGUCGCAGACUCCCCACCUCUCCUACUGGGCGUGUCAGUUGUUUGUUUGCCAGGAGCGGCUAAUCUGCCGUGGAGCCCGCCAGCUGUUUUGUCCUUCCGUGUGGCUUCGAAGUCCAGUGUUGGCACCCAUAAAUACGCCUGGACGGCCUCUGCUCCUUGGAAGUCCGCCGUCUGCAGGUUGCUGCACCCCUGUCGACCUGCUGGCCUCCUGACCGAGCUGAUUACACGCUUGUGGGACGCCAGGAAUACACAGAAGCGAUCCGCUCACUUUAUCUUUUCUUUUGAUUAAGUGUAUUUGGGUUAGGUGUUG